GACAACGUGGCCGAGCGGUUAAGGCGAUUGACUAGAAUCUUGAUUCUAAGACUUCCACAGUGGGUUUACUAUCAAUUGGGAUUUUCCCGCGUAGGUUCAAAUCCUGCCGUUGUCG
rnacentral:tRNA from 1 species